rnacentral:rRNA from 1 species
GACGAACGCUGGCGGCGUGCUUAACACAUGCAAGUCGAACGGAAAGGCCCUGCUUUUGUGGGGUGCUCGAGUGGCGAACGGGUGAGUAACACGUGAGUAACCUGCCCUUGACUUUGGGAUAACUUCAGGAAACUGGGGCUAAUACCGGAUAGGAGCUCCUGCUGCAUGGUGGGGGUUGGAAGGUUUCGGCGGUUGGGGAUGGACUCGCGGCUUAUCAGCUUGUUGGUGGGGUAGUGGCUUACCAAGGCUUUGACGGGUAGCCGGCCUGAGAGGGUGACCGGCCACAUUGGGACUGAGAUACGGACCAGACUCCUACGGGAGGCAGCAGUGGGGAAUAUUGCACAAUGGGCGGAAGCCUGAUGCAGCAACGCCGCGUGCGGGAUGACGGCCUUCGGGUUGUAAACCGCUUUCGCCUGUGACGAAGCGUGAGUGACGGUAAUGGGUAAAGAAGCACCGGCUAACUACGUG